AUGGGGUACUCCUGGAUUGUGGGUAAUGGCAAGAAAAUUCGCUUUUGGGAGGGCCAGUGGUUUGGCAAUGCACCACUAUCCGCUCAAUUUUGGGGGUUGUAUUCUUUGGCUAAUGAGCAUAAUAUAUCUAUUUUUAAAAUUUGGAAUGGGGUUUACCUUAAGAUCACCUUUAGGAGAUGCUUGUCAGGUGAUCAAGUGGCUGACUGGGUGGACCUGGUCUCUAUUGCCAGUACUAUCACUUUUAGAAAUUGUGAGGAUACUCCGGUCUGA
rnacentral:rRNA from 1 species